AGCUUGAAAAAUAGCUUCUAAACGAUAAUGUCAAUGAGUUAAAAAAUUUUGCAGUAAUCAAAUGCUUCGCCGGGGAUGGGAAUUUGCAAAUUUGUGGCCCUUCUUGGGUCAAAUCUCUUAUUUUUUCACUUGUUACUAUUGGUCAACCUGGUUUCGCUAAAUAGUUGAGAUUGUUGGCUUGUUUCCUUACUCCUGUGGUGGAUUUAUGGCAGACGAUGUCCCUAAAAUGAGUAGGACCUGCUGGUAUUAGGGUGAAGGAAGAUUGGUUGGUGGAGAUGAAUUUUUUGGAGGAGACUGUGAAAAUAUUUUGGAG
rnacentral:lncRNA from 1 species